UUGCCCAGAGAAAUAUCAACAACCUCAAAUAUGCAGUUGAUACCACUCUAAUGACAGAGGGGCUUCCCUGGUUAGAGUCUGCCUGGAACGCGGGAGACCCGGGGAUCGGACCUGCUUCUCCUGCACUGACAGGCAGAUUCUUAGGGAAGACUAUAAAACAUCCAAAGCAAGCUUGAGACUUAAAAUUUUAGAAUUCAUAGCAGUAUUUUAAAAGUCAUAAAAUGAAGCAUAAACUCACUUGAUUUUCUGUAAUCCUAUCAUCACCCAAGAAACAUUACUGUUGUUAUAAUAUUUAAAAUGUAUUGAAGCACCUUGCAUAUAUUAGAAAAAAGCGCUUAGUGUAAUUUUUAAUGGCUGUAUUUACUAUCCAAGCAGAAUAAAGUAAAAUGAAACAUAAUAAAACUUCAGCCUAAGGAGAAAACUUAAAUCCCCAAUUAUUAGAAAUUGUGUUCUUUUAUAUACAAUGUCUUUUAAGAAACAGCAAACACAUAAACCCACAUCCACAGAUUUUGUUUAAAAUACAUAAGUAAAGUCUGAUUUAACACAUUUAAUUAAACCUUUUAAUACUCUAUGUUUAAAAUACAUCUUAACAAGAGUGCAUUUUCAGAUUACCCCAAAACACUGUAACAGCAUUCAUUAUUCUUUUAAAUCCUUAGUGAGUUUAAUUUUUAAAAAAAGAUGAAAGUGUAUAUCUCAGGUAAACUAUUUUCAAAGGAAUAUCAUUACUGUUCAUUUUAAAGAAGUUAUAUUAACAUAUCAGAGACCCUAAAUAAGUAAACAGAAAUAAAUGCAAAAAUGAAAAAACCUGGUUAGAUCUAAUGAGGUUUGAUACUUAACACCAGUAAAGGAUGACUGGAAAUGUGGAGCUAUCAGUUAACAGUGAAGGUCUAUUAUGAGCCAUCCUAGCAAUUGAUACCAAUUUUAUUCUAUGAACUCCUCCUCAGAGUAGUGAUGCCUAAUGGUAAUUUAAAAUUAGCUCAGGAAACACCCUUCUAGUUGCUAGAUGGGAUGCUGUUCAAUUCAAUUGCCAAAAAAGCCAAUUAGAUCUUAAAAAUAAAUAUAUAAAUAAAAUUAGCUCAAAACUGUACAUAAAUAUACAGCAUAGGUUAAAAUUUACAAAUUUUAAAAUUUGUCUUUUAAUUAUCCCAACAUUUAAUAAAAUUGUCAUUAAACAUCAGAACUGAAAACUAAAUAAAAAAUACAAGUGCUACUUAGUACUGUAUCUGAUUGUUUUUCUACCCUUUAGUCGUAUGUUCAGAAGCAUCUGACAAAAUUUCUGAAAUUAAAAAUGACAAUGUGUGUAAGUCUUUAUGGGCUUCGCUGGUGGAGCUCAUGGUAAAGAACCCACCUACCACUGCAGAUGUAAGAGACACAGGUUCGAUCGCUAGGUUGGGAGGAAUGCUUGGAGGAGGGCAUGGCAACCCACUCCAGUAUUCUUGCCUGGAGAAUCUCACGAACAGAGGAGCCUGGUAAGCUACAGUCCACAGGGUUGCAAGAGUCGGACAUGACUGAAGAGACUUAGCAUGCAGCAUGCACAAUCUCUAUAAACAAUUGUCAUUGCUUGUGUCAUUCUCAUCAAUUCAGAAAAAUGUAUAUUAGUGAUGAAUGGUAAGGAAUCUGGUCUUACCCCAAAAAAGUUCUGGCCUACAUCCUCAGGAGGUCCCAGUAGGAGAAGUGUCUUUAUUAUUCAUGUUGGGCUCCUCAAAUUACAUAAGCUAAUUUAUGCUAACAUGAGACUCUGGUAUCUGAGGUCUGCUAGUUCUCCAGGGAGGAUCAGGGCUGGAGAGUGAGUUCAACUAUGUGAUCAAAGAAUCAAUCAAGCAUGCCAAAUAAUAAAACUUUGGUAAAAAUAUGAAAACCAAAGCAUGGGUGAAUUUUCCCAGUUGGCAGUACUCUGCAUGGAGUAUCACAGAUUUUAGCUUGGAGUAUAUAUACAACAUUGUCCAAGGCUUCACCAGGAAUGGACAACUGGAAAGGAUGACUAGAAUUUAGACCCCUCCUUAUCUCUGACCAGUGUUCUCUUCCUUUGUCUGGUUCUAAUUUGUAUCCUUUCUCUGGAAUAACUAUGAUUGUGAAUAUAAUAGCUUUCAGUGAGUUCUGUCUUUCCAG
ensembl:lncRNA